AUCUGAGCACACUACAAGUACAUAUUUGCUUACUCUGUAUGCUCAAAUGUGACCCGUUAUAGCCAACAGAAAAAAAGCGGAGGCCCGAAAAACAGGUGGGGGUCCUCCAACACCACCACUCACAGAGGCUGAGCAGUUGGCCCUCAGCCAAAACAGUGGGCGCCCUGUGGCUGAAGGCAUCUCUGCGGGACAUCCUCUGAGUCAAUAACCCCGCAAGACACAAGUGCCUACAUAAGAGUUGAUGGUGAUGGUGUACUGCAUCUGGUGCAGCCUCCUGUUGAGCCAGACCAACAUGCAGUUGAAAAUAAUGAAGAAACAUUGACAGCUGUUACAGAGGAGGAAGCAACAGAGACACUUUAUGAGAGUGAUGAUGGAAAUGCAGAGGAAGAGGGUCCAGCCACUUCUCCAACAAACCUUUCCUCACUCCCUGUAAAGCAGCUGUACAAGACCUAUUUGAUCAAGAAAAUAAAAAAAAUGUGACUUGGAAAUGGAACACUUCAAGCAGCAGAUCCAAAAGACCAAGAUUGAGAUUUUACUGCUGGAACAUCAGUUAAGGGAAAUACAGGCGACCAAUAAAGCCAGUUGAACAAAAAAUCUGUUUAUUCUUCUUUCAACAUGUUGAGGUGAUG